rnacentral:rRNA from 1 species
UGCAGAAUCUCGUGAACCAUCGAGUCUUUGAACGCAAGUUACGCCCUCAGCCACUAGGCCGAGGGCACGCCUGCCUGGGUGUCA